rnacentral:rRNA from 1 species
AGUGAACGCUGGCGGUAGGCCUAACACAUGCAAGUCGAACGGCAGCACAGUAAGAGCUUGCUCUUACGGGUGGCGAGUGGCGGACGGGUGAGGAAUACAUCGGAAUCUACUUUUUCGUGGGGGAUAACGUAGGGAAACUUACGCUAAUACCGCAUACGACCUACGGGUGAAAGCAGUGGAUCUUCGGACCUUGCGCGAUUGAAUGAGCCGAUGUCGGAUUAGCUAGUUGGCGGGGUAAAGGCCCACCAAGGCGACGAUCCGUAGCUGGUCUGAGAGGAUGAUCCGCCACACUGGAAAUGAGACACGGUCCAGACUCCUACGGGAGGCAGCAGUGGGGAAUAUUGGACAAUGGGCGGAAGCCUGAUCCAGCCAGACCGCGUGGGUGAAGAAGGCCUUCGGGUUGUAAAGCCCUUUUGUUGGGAAAGAAAAGCAGCAGGUUAAUACCCCGCUGUUCUGACGGUACCCAAAGAAUAAGCACCGGCUAACUUCGUG